UACCUCCUGAUCAAGCAAGAAAAAUUUAUCAAGCAUUGAAAGAAAAAGGAUUGCCAGUUGCUUUAGUGGAGUACGAAGGGGAGCAGCAUGGUUUUCGUAAGGCCGAAAACAUUAAAUUCACACUUGAACAACAAAUGGUGUUUUUCGCACGUUUAGUGGGACACUUUAAGGUUGCAGACGAAAUCGUUCCCAUCAAGUUUGAUAAUUUCGACUAAGAAAAAAGGAAGAAAAGUGC